rnacentral:rRNA from 1 species
GACGAACGCUGGCGGCGUGCUUAACACAUGCAAGUCGAACGGAAAGGCCCUGCUUUUGUGGGGUGCUCGAGUGGCGAACGGGUGAGAACACGUGAGUAACCUGCCCUUGACUUUGGGAUAACUUCAGGAAACUGGGGCUAAUACCGGUUAGGAGCUCCUGCUGCAUGGUGGGGGUUGGAAAGUUUCGGCGGUUGGGGAUGGACUCGCGGCUUAUCAGCUUGUUGGUGGGGUAGUGGCUUACCAAGGCUUUGACGGGUAGCCGGCCUGAGAGGGUGACCGGCCACAUUGGGACUGAGAGACGGCGCAGACUCCUACGGGAGGCAGCAGUGGGGAAUAUUGCACAAUGGGCGGGAGCCUGAUGCAGCAACGCCGCGUGCGGGAUGACGGCCUUCGGGUUGUAAACCGCUUUCGCCUGUGACGAAGCGUGAGUGACGGUAAUGGGUAAAGAAGCACCGGCUAACUACGUG